rnacentral:rRNA from 1 species
GUCCUUAACUGACGCUAAAGCUCGAAGGUGCGGGUAUCGAACAGGAUUAGAUACCCUGGUAGUCCGCACGGUAAACGAUGGAUGCCCGCUGUUGGCGAUAUAUUGUCAGCGGCCAAGCGAAAGCGUUAAGCAUCCCACCUGGGGAGUACGCCGGCAACGGUGAAACUCAAAGGAAUUGACGGGGGCCCGCACAAGCGGAGGAACAUGUGGUUUAAUUCGAUGAUACGCGAGGAACCUUACCCGGGCUUGAAUUGCAGAUGACGGAUCUAGAGAUAGUGACUUCCUUCGGGACAUCUGUGAAGGUGCUGCAUGGUUGUCGUCAGCUCGUGCCGUGAGGUGUCGGCUUAAGUGCCAUAACGAGCGCAACCCUUCUCUUCAGUUGCCAUCAGGUUAAGCUGGGCACUCUGGAGACACUGCCACCGUAAGGUGUGAGGAAGGUGGGGAUGACGUCAAAUCAGCACGGCCCUUACGUCCGGGGCUACACACGUGUUACAAUGGCCGGUACAGAAAGUCGGAUGCCCGUAAGGUCAUUCUAAUCAAGAAAGCCGGUCCCAGUUCGGACUGAGGUCUGCAACCCGACCCCACGAAGCUGGAUUCGCU